UAAAAGACAAACACCACAUAAGCUGUAAGUCUUUGUGACAGUAAGAAUUGCUCAGCAAGAAUAUUUUAUGGCCUUUUCACUUUAAAGAGAGAUGAUUUUCUGAUUGUUCUUCACCAGGGAUACUGAAGCAACCUGGCCCAGACUGGGGCCCCAACCUGUUGGGUUCCUCCUGUACAGAUGCAGAAUGAAAGCAGCUCUUGAAAGCAGAACAUUUCCAAUACAAAAGAGCCCUCACCUCAAACGGCUCUCAGCGCCCUACAGGACACUGACCAAACUAAACCACCGCACACUCCUGGCCACUCCUUUCCAGCACAGUGCCGGACAAUUGUCCAUGCCCUACAGGACAGGUAAGAUCACCCCAACCCACACCCACCAGGCUCUAACAGCAAGCAGCCAGGUGACACAAUCGGGCCCAGAUGGGAGUGACCGCUCCAUCAGGAUGACGGGACAUGGACGGACAUGGUGAGAUGCUCGAGACCCUCGGGCACAGAGGCAGGGGGAGCCCGGGGUCACAGGGGGAUGCUGCUCCGUUUGUUCCUUCUCUUAUUAAAGGAAGACACACACAGCGAUGGGACCAAACUACG